GAUUGAACGCUGGCGGCAGGCCUAACACAUGCAAGUCGAACGGUAGCACAGAGGAGCUUGCUCCUUGGGUGACGAGUGGCGGACGGGUGAGUAAUGUCUGGGAAACUGCCUGAUGGAGGGGGAUAACUACUGGAAACGGUAGCUAAUACCGCAUAACGUCGCAAGACCAAAGAGGGGGACCUUCGGGCCUCUUGCCAUCAGAUGUGCCCAGAUGGGAUUAGCUAGUAGGUGGGGUAAUGGCUCACCUAGGCGACGAUCCCUAGCUGGUCUGAGAGGAUGACCAGCCACACUGGAACUGAGACACGGUCCAGACUCCUACGGGAGGCAGCAGUGGGGAAUAUUGCACAAUGGGCGCAAGCCUGAUGCAGCCAUGCCGCGUGUAUGAAGAAGGCCUUCGGGUUGUAAAGUACUUUCAGCGGGGAGGAAGGCAUUGUGGUUAAUAACCACAGUGAUUGACGUUACCCGCAGAAGAAGCACCGGCUAACUCCGUGCCAGCAGCCGCGGUAAUACGGAGGGUGCAAGCGUUAAUCGGAAUUACUGGGCGUAAAGCGCACGCAGGCGGUCUGUCAAGUCGGAUGUGAAAUCCCCGGGCUCAACCUGGGAACUGCAUUCGAAACUGACAGGCUAGAGUCUUGUAGAGGGGGGUAGAAUUCCAGGUGUAGCGGUGAAAUGCGUAGAGAUCUGGAGGAAUACCGGUGGCGAAGGCGGCCCCCUGGACAAAGACUGACGCUCAGGUGCGAAAGCGUGGGGAGCAAACAGGAUUAGAUACCCUGGUAGUCCACGCUGUAAACGAUGUCGACUUGGAGGUUGUGCCCUUGAGGCGUGGCUUCCGGAGCUAACGCGUUAAGUCGACCGCCUGGGGAGUACGGCCGCAAGGUUAAAACUCAAAUGAAUUGACGGGGGCCCGCACAAGCGGUGGAGCAUGUGGUUUAAUUCGAUGCAACGCGAAGAACCUUACCUACUCUUGACAUCCACAGAACUUACCAGAGAUGCUUUGGUGCCUUCGGGAACUCUGAGACAGGUGCUGCAUGGCUGUCGUCAGCUCGUGUUGUGAAAUGUUGGGUUAAGUCCCGCAACGAGCGCAACCCUUAUCCUUUGUUGCCAGCGAUCCGGUCGGGAACUCAAAGGAGACUGCCAGUGAUAAACUGGAGGAAGGUGGGGGAUGACGUCAAGUCAUCAUGGCCCUUACGAGUAGGGCUACACACGUGCUACAAUGGCGCAUACAAAGAGAAGCGAACUCGCGAGAGCAAGCGGACCUCAUAAAGUGCGUCGUAGUCCGGAAUCGGAGUCUGCAACUCGACUCCGUGAAGUCGGAAUCGCUAGUAAUCGUGGAUCAGAAUGCCACGGUGAAUACGUUCCCGGGCCUUGUACACACCGCCCGUCACACCAUGGGGAAUUGGGUUGCAAAAAGAAGUAGGUAGCUUAACCUUUCGGGAGGGCGCUUACCACUUUGUGAUUCAUGACUGGGGGUGA
rnacentral:rRNA from 1 species